AUGAACGCUGGCGGCGUGCCUAAUACAUGCAAGUCGAGCGAACGGACGAGAAGCUUGCUUCUCUGAUGUUAGCGGCGGACGGGUGAGUAACACGUGGAUAACCUACCUAUAAGACUGGGAUAACUUCGGGAAACCGGAGCUAAUACCGGAUGAUAUUUUGAACCGCAUGGUUCAAAAGUGAAAGACGGUCUUGCUGUCACUUAUAGAUGGAUCCGCGCUGCAUUAGCUAGUUGGUAAGGUAACGGCUUACCAAGGCAACGAUGCAUAGCCGACCUGAGAGGGUGAUCGGCCACACUGGAACUGAGACACGGUCCAGACUCCUACGGGAGGCAGCAGUGGGGAAUCUUCCGCAAUGGGCGAAAGCCUGACGGAGCAACGCCGCGUGAGUGAUGAAGGUCUUCGGAUCGUAAAACUCUGUUAUUAGGGAAGAACAUAUGUGUAAGUAACUGUGCACAUCUUGACGGUACCUAAUCAGAAAGCCACGGCUAACUACGUG
rnacentral:rRNA from 1 species